GAAUAACUUCAAUGGAACAACGCUAGAGGGCGGGAGUUUUAAAAUCCUGAGUUUCUAUUGGUCGAAGAUAGUACACCGUUCCUCCGCAAGGCGGCUUGGAACCGAAAUUUAAGCGGCUUUGAAUUCUUAUACAAGAAAGAUGAUUAAUAACUCACGCCAAUUGCUAAGUUAAUUAUCUAACACUAUUAAAACAAUAAAAGGUUUUAAAUUUUCUUAUUAACUUUAAUAUUCAUUAGAAGCAAUCUCUUCAGAUGAUCAUGCUUGUAAAGCUGAUAAAAUUCUAAAUAUCCAAUUAAUCAACUAAAUUCCUUUUAAAUUAGCUAUUGAAUGCCUUGCAGUGGAACUUAAUUGAAAAUCGUUAAUUAAAUUUUCUUGUUCGAUAUAAAAAGAACUUUUUAUUGAAGAGAAUACGGAAUUCAAGAAAACCCAUGAAAAGUCACAUUAACAAAAAAGUUUUUUCUGACUAUACUACAAUAAAAAGACAAGCCAGCAGGCGGGAUGUCAUCCCAACAAUAUAGUAAAUCGAGGAUUAAAAAAGUGUGAAACUACUUUAUAAUAGAAAUAUAAAGUAUAUAUAUAUAUA